GUACUUACCUGGCGUGGGGGUUACCGUGAUCAUGAAGGCGGUUCCCCCAGGGCGAGGCCUUGUCAUUGCACUGCGACUUGGUUGACCCCUGCGAAUGCCCCAAAUGUGAGCAUCUCGGGCGCCCAAAACAAUUAGGUAUUACCUAUUCAAUUAGGUAAAUCUAU